rnacentral:misc_RNA from 1 species
UUUCCGUAGGUGAACCUGCGGAAGGAUCAUUCAUAAUAAAGUGUUUUAUGGCACUUUUUAAAAAUCCAUAUCCACCUUGUGUGCAAUGUUUGAUCUCGUCAAUCUUGGCGAGAUUUUUAUACAUCAACUCAUUCUUUAACUAAUUUGUCUGAAAAAUAUUAUGAAUACUUAAUUCAAAAUACAACUUUCAACAACGGAUCUCUUGGCUCUU